CUAGCUUGCUAGUAGGCGUCGAGUGGCGGACGGGUGAGUAACGCGUAGGAAUCUGCCUGAUAGUGGGGGAUAGCCCGGAGAAAUUCGGAUUAAUACCGCAUAAUCUAUUCGUAGUAAAGUGGGGGACUUUCGAGCCUCACGCUAUCAGAUGAGCCUGCGUAAGAUUGGCUUGUUGGUAGGGUAAAAGCCUACCAAGGCGACGAUCUUUAGCUGGUCUGAGAGGAUGAUCAGCCACAUCGGGACUGAGACACGGCCCGAACUCCUACGGGAGGCAGCAGUGGGGAAUAUUGGACAAUGGGGGCAACCCUGAUCCAGCAAUACCGCGUGUGUGAAGAAGGCCUGAGGGUUGUAAAGCACUUUCAAUUGUGAAGAAAAGUUAACGGUUAAUAACCGUUAGCCUUGACGUUAACUUUAGAAGAAGCACCGGCUAACUCCGUG
rnacentral:rRNA from 1 species